rnacentral:lncRNA from 1 species
GGUAGUUCACGGAUAUUCUAGAGAAUUUUUGGAGCCAAAACAGUGAGAAACCCAUCACAAAUUUGCUGGGGAGAAGCAUUUUUCAAGUACAUUUAUUGCGUAUUUCCCAUCCACUUCAACUGGUAUGUUUUUCUUCUCAUUUUUCUGCUGAUUCUGGGAUGAUGUUUGUUGGUUGGGAGUAGCAUGUUCACAUCUCUCCUCUUAAUGGUUUUUGCUGCAAAUCCGUUUGUCCUUGUCUCAUUUUCCCCAUGAGAUAUCUGUAACCUUGUUCUGUUUUUUUUUUAUAUAGUCAUUUGAUACCACCCACUCUCGUCUAAGCCUGUUGAUUCAAAUAUGAAGCAUGGCUUGUACGGGUUUUUUAUUUUGUUCCUACCCUUUGCUCUCUAUUUGUAGUUUUCUAUAUUCUUGGUGUUCAUCCAUGGUGUUAAUGGGCUAUGUUUAUUUAAUUAAAAAAAUCAAUGAGAUUGGAGAUCGAGUGGCAGCCAUGGAGGAUUGAUCUGGUGACAUGUUUGUUGUUGAAUUAAAAAUUCAAAGUGGCCGGUCAUAGAAGUCAAAUGGAAUGUAGUUUUUGUUGUUAAUAUGGAAUCUUGAAAUCAAUGCAAUCGGUCAUGAGUAUGUGAAAUAUUAGUGCUUAUUUAUGUGAAUAAAAAAUUCAAUGUAAAAUGGGAUUGGUAAUGUUAGUGGUUGUUUGUCUUAAUAAAAAGUCAAUGUGAAUAUGUUAUGAGAGAGAACAACACUUGCCAUCAUCAACCUCACAGUACAAUGCCGUAUGCACCCCCGGGGACCCACUUGUGUAUGGUUUGCAUUGGCCUCAUUAGGCUACGUGUCAUCUUCAUUUUCUUCCUCUUUGAUUUUAAAAAUAAUUUUUUUUUUCCGAAUCCCAUUUUUCAAAUAAUUCUUUAGAUUUUAGUUUUUUUUUAAAUAAUUUCAAAUCUCCCAUUUUUCAUCUUUAGCAUUUUUCUUAGGUUUCGAAAAUCCAUUUUUCAAUAAAAUUUGCCGUCAUUUUCUUCCCAACGAGCCUCAUUUUCACAUCUUCCAUGUUUUUUUUUUUUUAAA